rnacentral:rRNA from 1 species
CAGCCGUAAACAAUGUGCGUUAGGUGUGUCGGUAACCACGUGUUACUGAUGCGCCGAAGAGAAAUCGUGAAACGCACCACCUGGGAAGUACGGUCGCAAGGCUGAAACUUAAAGGAAUUGGCGGGGGGAGCACCACAACAGGUGGAGCCUGCGGUUUAAUUGGAUUCAACGCCGGACAUCUCACCGGAUAAGACAGCUGAAUGAUUGUCAAUCUGGAGGUUUUACAUGACUAGCUGAGAGGAGGUGCAUGGC